rnacentral:rRNA from 1 species
GACGAGGGAUCCUAGCGUUGCUCGGAAUUAUUGGGCGUAAAGCGGGUGUAGGUGGCUUGGUAAGUCGGGUGUGAAAGCCCAGGGCUCAACCCUGGAAGUGCAUUCGAUACUGCUGAGCUUGAGUGCGAGAGAGGUUAAUAGAAUACCUGGUGUAGUGGUGAAAUACGUAGAUAUCAGGUGGAACACCGGAGGCGAAGGCGGUUAACUGGCUCGACACUGACACUGAGACUCGAAAGUGCGGGGAUCAAACAGG